ACGGAAGGCAGCAGUGAGGAAUAUUGGUCAAUGGGCGGAAGCCUGAACCAGCCAAGUCGCGUGAAGGAUGAAGGUAUUAUGUAUUGUAAACUUCUUUAGCAGCAGAGUAAUAAGGGGGUCGUGACCCCCGAUGCAAGUAUGCUGAAAAUAAGGAUCGGCUAACUCCGUGCCAGCAGCCGCGGUAAUACGGAGGAUCCGAGCGUUAUCCGGAUUUAUUGGGUUUAAAGGGUGCGCAGGCGGUUUUUUAAGUCAGUGGUUAAAUCGUGAGGCUCAACCUCAUCACGCCAUUGAUACUGGAAGACUUGAUUGCGGUUGAGGUGGGCGGAAUUCGUCGUGUAGCGGUGAAAGGCAUAGAUAUGACGAAGAACACCGAUUGCGUAGGCAGCUGACCAAGCCGUAAAUGACGCUCAUGCACGAAAGUGCGGGGAUCGAACAGGAUUAGAUACCCUGGUA
rnacentral:rRNA from 1 species